rnacentral:rRNA from 1 species
UGGGGAAUAUUGNACAAUGGGCGCAAGCCUGAUCCAGCAAUACCGCGUGUGUGAAGAAGGCCUUAGGGUUGUAAAGCACUUUCAAUNGGGAGGAAAACCUGCCGGUCAAUACCCGGUAGCUUGACAUUACCUAUAGAAGAAGCACCGGCUAACUCCGUGCCAGCAGCCGCGGUAAUACGGAGGGUGCGAGCGUUAAUCGGAAUUACUGGGCGUAAAGCGUGCGUAGGCGGUUCGUUAAGUCAGAUGUGAAAGCCCYGGGCUYAACCUGGGAACUGCAUUUGAWACUGGCRGACUAGAGUUUAGUAGAGGKRAGUGGAAUUUCAGGUGUAGCGGUGAAAUGCGUAGAUAUCUGAAGGAACACCAGUGGCGAAGGCGACUYMCUGGACUMRAACUGACGCUGAGGUACGAAAGCGUGGGUAGCAAACAGGAUUAGAUACCCUGGUAGUCCACGCCGUAAACGAUGUCAACUAGMCGUUGGUCYYAUUUACRRGAUUAGUGRCGCAGCUAACGCAUUAAGUUGACCGCCUGGGGAGUACGGCCGCAAGGUUA